CCCAGAUACCUCUUGCCUUCUCUGCGCCCCGGAGCUCCGCUUCGGACAAGCUCCUGAAGUUCAGUGCCGGGCAAUUAGCGUGAGUCCAAAUUUCAUUCCAUCUAAUCCAAAAAGAAGGAAAAGAAGAAGAAGAAGAAGAAGAAGAAGAAGAAGAAGAAGAAGAAGAAGAAGAAGAAGAAGAAGAGUAAUCAAAGACAUGGGCUCUGGACCCAAAUUGAAUUUAAACCCUAGUGCUUUGCCGUUCUCUAUGACAUGGAUAGGAGAUAAUCCAAACAGAAGGCCCCAGCACAGAAGGUGUGGCAAAG
rnacentral:lncRNA from 1 species